GUCGUCAGUGUGGGCGUGACUUUGACAGCAGUUCAGCAGGUUGAAUGAUUUUGAUCCAUGUGAUAGAUCACUGACUGGAUAUCACGAGGAGGUUGGUGUCACAAGAACGGGCUCGUGGUAACGGCUGGAGCAGAACAGGUGGAAUAGUAUCAAAUAUAUCAAAUCCUUGGUUUCCAUUUGGUUCCAGCCAUUGUUAUGAGCCGUCCUCCCCUCAGCAGCCUGCUGUACCAUCUUGGCUAUUUGACAUCUCUUGCUGACGGGAAUAACACUAACAACAAGCCACUGGGACUUGGACAAAACCUAUAAAACUGCACUAGGGGGAGCCAGUCAGUUGGACAAGGCUCCUGUAUUUACCUGCUUCCAGUGCACUCCAGCCAGAGGCCGAGGCAUGUGCUGUACCAUUACCAUCACCUGCAAAAACACCAGCACAACCUGACAAAUGUUUUCAAUAAGCUCUUAGUGAUGACAACAUCAGCACCACUCUUCAAAUGAAAAAGAUCAUGGCAUCAUGGUCGCUCCAAGAGAAGAGAGGGGGAAAAACAUGGUUUAUGGUCAAGGAAAUUUGGAUCCAAGGUAGGCCAAUAGUCAAGGCAUAGCCUAGCAACAUUCUGUGGAAUUCAUAAUGAAACUGCCCUUCUUUCUUGAAGCCUUUGGAAAUUGGAGAGGCAGAUCAAUCUAGGGCUUCAUUAUGAGUGUAGUGAAUCACGUUUGCCUGUUAAAGGUGCAAUGCCAUAUCUAUCAAGAUAAAAUCUUGCUAUACUCAUGGUAAAUAAACACAACUUACUUCCUCUCUUUCUCAACUAUUAGGGAUCCCUCCUCAAUGGCACCCUAUUCCCUUUAUCCCCCCUAUUCCCCAUGGGCUCUGGUCAAAAGUAGUGCACUAUAUAGGGAGUAGGGUGCCAUUUGGGAUGCUCAGUCGAGAUAAAGACGAGUCAUAUUGUUUUAGGCAUGGUGAAUGUAAUUACUUUCUCUCUUCCUUAACUAUAAGUGCUAUUGAAAGUCAAACAGGACGCAUGUGAUAUUACAUCCCAUGACUUCUUCUAUUCAAUGUGGCACAAGUCUAUGAUAAUAAUUCAUCAGCAUGAACUAAACCCAACCCAACAAUUUACUGGGGGGGACUGGUCCAACUCAAGGUGCCAUUGAAAGAAAUGCACCCCUCUCCCCAAAGUUAGAAAUAUUUUCACAUGACCCUCCCCUUGUACUGUAAAAUAAAUUCAACACGCUCAUAAAAUUGACUCAAAAUAAUGUUUACGACCACAAAUAACAAUCCCUGUAGCGACCCUGUGUUUAUAACCGGGGAUAUCGACUUUGCUACUUCAGCAUGGUUCCGUGGUACAGUUGAUGCCACGCAGGGAUACGGGCCAGAAGGUUUAGGGUUCGUGGUACAGUUGAUGCCACGCAGGGGUACGGGCCAGAAGGUUUAGGGUUCGCCGACCACCACAGACGAGCUCACUCUCCCUGCCUAUUUCAUUACAGUACAAUCAGAUCCGGCAGUAGACAAUGAUCAGCUAGGGGGAAAUUCAAUUUUCAACAUUUUUAUGCCAUAUUUAUAAUUAUAUAAAAUAAAUGCAAUGAACUUAACACAAAACAGGUUUCUGUGCCAAUGCACCACACAACCAAUAAACAAAGCAUACCAUCUUCGGGCACUUCAAUAUCAUGGUUUGCAUUUUCAACACCACGAUAGAUUGACAUAUCUACAGUGUGAAUAGUCAAUCUCUACAAACAGAGAAUACAUCCUUCCCUACCUUGUAGAAUUACUCAGUAUCGAAGGCUUGGCUUCACAAUCUACGAAUGUCAUUAAACUUUAUGCUGUUUUGUAA